CACCCACAGAGUCUCAUGUGCGAAUACUUGCUUGCCAGUUGGUGCCUCUGUAAAGGAAGGUUCUGGAAAUUCCGAAUCGUGAAGCCUGCAUGGUUGUGAUUGGCCACUCAGGGUGCACUGGGAAGUGCUGCUGGACUCCUGGUUCCAGCCUCACUCUCUGAUUCCUGUUCUGCUGUGUGUCACUGUCAUACUGCUAUGAACUCUGCCAUGCCCUGUCCACAUUGCUGGUCUGAAACUCUUGGAAGCUACCAUUCAAAUUAAUCUUUCUCUACUUGUUUCUGUCUGUCAGGUGGCUUAUAGCAGUCAUUCAAAAAGUAACAAAACCAGGAAACUGGUGUCAAAGGUAUGAGAAUGCUACUUUGAUUACACCUGACCACAGGUCUUUGUGUCUUUGGAGCUGGAUUGCUGAAGAAAUGUGGAAAAGUUUGGAGAUGCAUCCCAGUUCUAGAAGCCCGAUAACGAUGCUAGCCUAUUUGAUCCUGCUAAGGUGUGGCAGUUUAGAAGACCAAUGUCUCUGCCCACUUGCCACGAGGAGCAUUGGAAAGACCUUUCAAAGUGCCUGCCAGUUUUUUGCAUCUGAAUAAAAGAAGCAUUAUGCCUGAAGGAUCCAUCAUUCUCAGGGGUACUGGGACAAGAAAAUGACAUAACAGAUGUGAGCACAUUUAGAAAGUAAAAGCAAUGUAUAAAUGCUGGA